GCCCUCGUGAUGUAGUGGUAAGCUCGCUCGACGCCUAUUCGAGAGAUCCGGGGUUCGAGUCCCUGCGAGGGCA